rnacentral:rRNA from 1 species
UACGAAGGGGGCUAGCGUUGCUCGGAAUUACUGGGCGUAAAGCGCACGUAGGCGGCUUUCUAAGUCGGGGGUGAAAUCCUGGAGCUCAACUCCAGAACUGCCUUCGAUACUGGAGAGCUCGAGUCCGGGAGAGGUGAGUGGAACUGCGAGUGUAGAGGUGAAAUUCGUAGAUAUUCGGCAAGAACACCAGUGGCGAAAGGCGGCUCACUGGCCCGGUACUGACGCUGAGGUGCGAAAGCGUGGGGAGCAAACAGG